rnacentral:rRNA from 1 species
GGACUACUGGGGUAUCUAAUCCUGUUUGCUCCCCACGCUUUCGCGCCUCAGUGUCAGUAUCAGUCCAGGUGGCCGCCUUCGCCACUGGUGUUCCUUCCGAUAUCUACGCAUUUCACCGCUACACCGGAAAUUCCUCCACCCUCUACUGUACUCCAGUCAACCAGUUUAAGUUGCAGCUCCUAGGUUAAGCCCAGGGAUUUCACAACUCACUUAGUCAACCACCUACGCGCCCUUUACGCCCAGUAAUUCCGAUUAACGCUCGCACCCUCUGUAUUACCGCGGCUGCUGGCAC